rnacentral:piRNA from 1 species
UUUCAAAUGACUUUUCAAAAA